AUUCCAGUGUUUUAACUACGAAGUCUUCAUGUGGCGCCAAUGGCUCAUUCCCAUACGUUCUACAUGUUUGCGUCCUUCCUUGAUAGAGAUCACCGUCAAGCCAGAGGCCAAAUUUACCACUACAAAUAAUAUUCAAUCAUAAGAAAAACUUACUCUCCAGCACCUAUGGCAAGGCUCUCAUUGUUGCCUUUGAUGAAGUAAAGAUUAUCACCGGUCCAAUUGAAAGCUUGGAACCUUGGUGUGAACCUAAAGAGUAAGGACUCGCCGGUACCAUAGAAGUGAUCGCUCACGUGUAGAGCACACGAAGUCAAUGCUCCGAACACCUGUAACAUUAAUUAUUAUCACCUGUUGAGUUUAUGUAUAAUAUAUAUAUAUAUAAAAUGUGAGAAUAAAAAAAGAUCUCAACUUUU